rnacentral:rRNA from 1 species
CUUGGUCAUUUAGAGGAAGUAAAAGUCGUAACAAGGUCUCCGAUAGGUGAACCUGCGGAGGGAUCAUUACAGAGUUCAUGCCCUCACGGGUAGAUCUCCCACCCUUGUGUAUUCAUACCUUUGUUGCUUUGGCAGGCCGCUGGGCUUCGGCCUGGCCACCGGCUCCCGGGCUGGUGCGCGCCUGCCAGGGGACCUCUAAACUCUGUUUGUCAGUGUCGUCUGAGUAUUAUACAAUCGUUAAAACUUUCAACAACGGAUCUCUUGGUUCUGGCAUCGAUGAAGAACGCAGCGAAAUGCGAUAAGUAAUGUGAAUUGCAGAAUUCAGUGAAUCAUCGAAUCUUUGAACGCACAUUGCGCCCCUUGGUAUUCCGAGGGGCAUGCCUGUUCGAGCGUCAUUUCAACCCUCAAGCUCUGCUUGGUAUUGGGCUACGCCAUCGCGGCAGGCCUUAAAAUUAGUGGCGGUGCCGUCUCGGCUCUAAGCGUAGUAACAAUCUCUCGCUCUGGAGACCUGGCGGUGCUUGCCAGACAACCACCAAUUUUUUUAUGGUUGACCUCGGAUCAGGUAGGGAUACCCGCUGAACUUAAGCAUAUCAAUAAGCGGAGGA